AUCUUGCAGUGGAUGCAGGGAGGGACCAUGCCUCUAGCAUUCUCUGGGAAGAAUAAAGGAGAAGUUUAUCUUCCCACCUACCUCCCAUUGCCUGUUUUUCAUUGGUCAAAACUUGUCCCACUAGGAAUUAACUCCUUCACAUUUCCAAGUUUAUAUCAUAUGACUGCUCCAACUACAUGGGACCCCAAACCCCAAACCUGAUGUAUGUAUAGUGUUCCUGUUUCAUCCAAGCCUGGAAAUGAGGGGAAGAGCCAGAACCUCUAGGCUUGGUGCUCUGGAAAAAGAAUUAGAAUUGCAUUCAAAUAGUCAGGCUUCAAGUUGCUUCUGCCUCUGUGUGAAGCAAAUAGUAACAACUCACUUCGAAACUCAGGCUCCUGGACUGUAAAUGAGGAUAAUGAUACUCACCCUACCAACCUCAGGGACUGUUCUAAGAGCAAAAUGAAAUGAGACUGAGCUCUGAAAAUGCUUAAAUGCUUUUCAAAGUAGAGUGAUCGUGCUUUCUGUAGCAUCAAAACAGUCCUCUAUAAAUGGGCAAAGUCAAGGCAUGGACUGGAUCUGACAACAGAGAAUGGCUUGAGGGCUGGAAAAAGAAAAAAAUGCAAAUGCCCCAAAUCUCUGCUUCCCUUACAGUGUGGAAAUCGCCCCAUAACACACUGCACCAGAUAGGGCCUAAAGCCAAUAAUGAGUGUCUAAGACAGAAGAAGACACAAAGAAGAAGAGACGGGAAUGUGGUCACAGAGGCAGAGACUGGAGCAAUGCAGCCACAAGCCAAGGAACACCUGGACCCACCAGAAGCUGGAAGAGGAAAGAAGGGAUUUCUUUUUCUUCUAGAGCCUUGGGAGGGAGCAUGGCCCUGCUGACAACUUAUUUUCAGACUUCUAGAUUCUAGAACUAUCAGAUAAUAAAUUUAUAUUGUUUUAAGCCACUAUGUUUGUGGUGAUUUGUUCUAGCAGUCCUAGGAAACCAAUGCAGUAUUUAAUACAGAGUGCCCGGUACAAUGUUGGCAUGUGACAAGCACUCAGCAAAUGGUAGUUGCAUAGUGAGUUCUCCUCCUGUCCCCACUACCUCCUCAAUGAGUAAAUGCCUGAACAAAUCCAUAGGCAGCCAUCUGAGAGCCUGACUCCAGGGAGCAGGGGGUACAGUUAGCCUCAGCCCAUGCUAAAAUAGAAGCCUGACCUUAGUUUGGUUAAUGCCACACUCUACCACAGGCAAUUGACACCAGGGCUCUCCCAUUUUAUAAUAGCGCAGAUCCAGUCUCAUUAUGCAUUAAAGAGUUUGUUCCCCUAAAACUCUUACUGCCCCCAAAGGUUUAGAAUUUAAAAAUAAC
rnacentral:lncRNA from 1 species